rnacentral:rRNA from 1 species
ACAGUGGACGCGAGCAUCUGUGGCCAAGUUUUUAAGGGCGCACGGUGGAUGCCUUGGCACCAGGAACCGAUGAAGGACGUGGGAGGCCACGAUAGUCCCCGGGGAGCUGUCAACCAAGCUUUGAUCCGGGGGUUUCCGAAUGGGGAAACCCGGCAGUCGUCAUGGGCUGUCACCCGCUGCUGAACACAUAGGCAGUGUGGAGGGAACGAGGGGAAGUGAAACAUCUCAGUACCCUCAGGAAGAGAAAACAACCGUGAUUCCGGGAGUAGUGGCGAGCGAAACUGGAUGAGGCCAAACCGUUUACGUGUGAUACCCGGCAGGGGUUGCGUAUGCGGGGUUGUGGGAGUUCUCUUUCACAGUCUGCCGGCUGUGAGGCGAGUCAGAAACCGUUGGUGUAGGCGAAGGACAUGCGAAAGGUCCGGCGUAGAGGGUAAGACCCCCGUAGCUGAAACAUCAACGGCUCGUUUGAGAACCACCCAAGUAGCACGGGGCCCGAGAAAUCCCGUGUGAAUCUGGCGGGACCACCCGCUAAGCCUAAAUAUUCCCUGGUGACCGAUAGCGGAUAGUACCGUGAGGGAAUGGUGAAAAGUACCGCGGGAGCGGAGUGAAAUAGUACCUGAAACCGUGUGCCUACAAGCCGUGGGAGCGUCGCUGGCAGCACUUGUGCUGUCAGUCGUGACUGCGUGCCUUUUGAAGAAUGAGCCUGCGAGUUAGCGGUGUGUAGCGAGGUUAACCCGUGUGGGGAAGCCGUAGCGAAAGCGAGUCCGAACAGGGCGUUUGAGUUGCACGCUCUAGACCCGAAGCGGAGUGAUCUAGCCAUGGGCAGGUUGAAGCGGAGGUAAGACUUCGUGGAGGACCGAACCCACCAGGGUUGAAAACCUGGGGGAUGACCUGUGGUUAGGGGUGAAAGGCCAAUCAAACUCCGUGAUAGCUGGUUCUCCCCGAAAUGCAUUUAGGUGCAGCGUCGUGUGUUUCUUGCCGGAGGUAGAGCACUGGAUAGGCGAUGGGCCCUACCGGGUUACUGACCUUAGCCAAACUCCGAAUGCCGGUAAGUGAGAGCGCGGCAGUGAGACUGUGGGGGAUAAGCUCCAUGGUCGAGAGGGAAACAGCCCAGAGCAUCGACUAAGGCCCCUAAGCGUACGCUAAGUGGGAAAGGAUGUGGAGUCGCAGAGACAACCAGGAGGUUGGCUUAGAAGCAGCCACCCUUGAAAGAGUGCGUAAUAGCUCACUGGUCAAGUGAUUCCGCGCCGACAAUGUAGCGGGGCUCAAGCGUACCGCCGAAGUCGUGUCAUUCCAGCAUGUACCCCCAACGGGGGCUGGGAUGGGUAGGGGAGCGUCGUGUGCCGGGUGAAGCCGCGCCGGAAGGCAGUGGUGGACGGUUCACGAGUGAGAAUGCAGGCAUGAGUAGCGAUACACACGUGAGAAACGUGUGCGCCGAUUGACUAAGGGUUCCUGGGUCAAGCUGAUCUGCCCAGGGUAAGUCGGGACCUAAGGCGAGGCCGACAGGCGUAGUCGAUGGACAACCGGUUGAUAUUCCGGUACCCGCUUUGAAACGCCCAGUACUGAAUCAGGCGAUGCUAAGUCCGUGAAGCCGGCCCGAUCUCUUCGGAGUUGGUGGAUGAUCCUAUGCUGUCGAGAAAAGCCUCUAGCGAGUUUCAUGGCGGCCCGUACCCUAAACCGACUCAGGUGGUCAGGUAGAGAAUACCGAGGCGUUCGGGUGAACUAUGGUUAAGGAACUCGG